rnacentral:rRNA from 1 species
UACGUAGGUGGCAAGCGUUGUCCGGAUUUACUGGGCGUAAAGAGCGCGCAGGCGGUCGUUCAAGUCGCGUGUGAAAGCCCCCGGCUCAACUGGGGAGGGUCACGCGAUACUGAUCGACUGGAAGGCAGGAGAGGGUAGUGGAAUUCCCGGUGUAGUGGUGAAAUGCGUAGAGAUCGGGAAGAACACCAGUGGCGAAGGCGGCGUUCUGGGCUGCAACUGACGCUGAGAUGCGAAAGUGUGGGGAGCAAACGGG